UACGUAGGGGGCAAGCGUUGUCCGGAUUCAUUGGGCGUAAAGAGCUCGUAGGCGGCUUGGCAAGUCGGGUGUGAAACCUCCAGCUCAACCUGGAGACGCCACCCGAUACUGCCAUGGCUAGAGUCCGGUAGGGGACCACGGAAUUCCUGGUGUGAGCGGUGAAAUGCGCAGAUAUCAGGAGGAACACCGGUGGCGAAGGCGGUGGUCUGGGCCGGAACUGACGCUGAGGAGCGAAAGCGUGGGGAGCGAACAGG
rnacentral:rRNA from 1 species